CAACAUUAGGCAUAUAAAUCCUACCUGUCUUCACACACUUACACACUAAAACUCCCACAGAAAGGGGGAAAAUUAGAAAAGGGGUGAUAUAAUUUGACUCUGUGUCACCACCCAAAUCUCAUCUUGAAUUGUAAUCCCCGUAAUUUCUCACCUGGCAAGAGUGGGACCAGGUGGAGACAAUUGGAUCAUGGGGGCAGUUUUCCCCAUGCUCUUCUCGUGAUAAUGAUUGAGUCUCAUGGGAUCUGAUGAUUCUAUAAGUGUCUGGCUUUUCUCCUACUUGCACUCACUCCAUCCUGCCACCCUGCGAGGAAGGUGCCUGCUUCUUCUUUGCCUUCCGCCGUGAGUGUGAGUCUCCUGAGGCCUCCCCAGCAAUGUGGAACUGAUACGUCAUGGAACAGAGGGCAACCUGCCUCCUGGAAAUGUGGAGUGUCUAGGGAGUCACAGCUGAGAUCUUCCUUGGAUUAAAGGCUGCGGGUGUCACAAACAGAAUGAUACGGUUUGGCUGUGUCCCCACCUAAAUCUCACCUUGAGUUCCUAUGUGCUGUGAAAGGGACCUGAUGGGAGGUAACUGAAUCAUGGGGGCAGGUCUUUCCUGUGCUCAUGAUAGUGAGUAAGUCUCAAGAAAUCUGAUGGUUUUUACAAGGGGGAAUUUUCCUGCACAAGCUCUCUUUGCCUGCUGCCACCCAUGUAAGACGUGACUUGCUGCUCAUUGCCUUCUGCCGUGAUUGUGAAGCUUCCCCAGCAACGUGGAACAGUUGUCUCUUCACUCUGCUGAUUGUGUAUUUUGCUGUUCAGAAGCUUUUCAGUUUGAUACAGCCUCACUCGCUCAUUCAGGUGUUGGACAGAGAAGAGGAUCACUCUCUCUCUAGCAAGCCAAGUAGUUCCCUGAUCUUCUUUCCCCAAGGCUGUCACUGUCAGUAGAAUCUAGAGGACUGAGCCAUGAGUUGUCCACAAACCUAAUAACAUCCUUGUUGUCUUCAGCACAACAAGUUUACUUACUAUGCAAUGUCAACAAAGUUUUAUGAUAAAAUAUUUGGACUGAAAUAAACACAGUCUCGCCUGACUUUUUC
rnacentral:lncRNA from 1 species